rnacentral:rRNA from 1 species
AGCCGCCGCGGUAAUACGACGGAUGCAAGCGUUAUCCGGAUUUAUUGGGUUUAAAGGGAGCGUAGGCGGACUUAUAAGUCAGUGGUGAAAUCUCGUCGCUUAACGACGAACGUGCCAUUGAUACUGUAGGUCUUGAGUACAGAUGAUGUUGGCGGAAUGUGUCAUGUAGCGGUGAAAUGCUUAGAUAUGACACAGAACACCGAUUGCGAAGGCAGCUGACAAAACUGUAACUGACGCUGAGGCUCGAAAGCGUGGGGAUCAAACAGGAUUAGAUACCCUGGUAGUCCACGCCCUAAACUAUGAUUACUAGCUGUCGGCGAUAUACCGUCGGUAGCCAAGCGAAAGCGAUAAGUAAUCCACCUGGGGAGUACGCCCGCAAGGGUGAAACUCAAAGGAAUUGACGGGGGCCCGCACAAGCGGAGGAGCAUGUGGUUUAAUUCGAUGAUACGCGAGGAACCUUACCAGGGCUUGAAAGUUAGUGACCGGUGGUGAAAGCCACUUUUCAGCAAUGACACGAAACUAGGUGCUGCAUGGCUGUCGUCAGCUCGUGCCGUGAGGUGUUGGGUUAAGUCCCGCAACGAGCGCAACCCCUACUUCCAGUUGCCAACACGUAAUGGUGGGGACUCUGGAGGAACUGCCCGCGCAAGCGGUGAGGAAGGUGGGGACGACGUCAAGUCAUCACGGCCCUUACGUCCUGGGCUACACACGUGCUACAAUGGCAACCACAGAGGGCUGCUACUCAGUAAUGAGAUGCUAAUCCAUCAAAAGUUGCCUCAGUUCGGAUUGAGGUCUGCAACUCGACCUCAUGAAGCUGGAUUCGCUAGUAAUCGCGCAUCAGCAAUGGCGCGGUGAUACGUUCCCGGGC